rnacentral:rRNA from 1 species
AUGAUUCAUCUUGAUGGCAUCAAUAUCCCCGAUGGCAAUUUCUACCUGGGAGAUGCUGGUUAUGCAUGUCGUCCAGGUGUUCUUCCACCCUUCGGGAAAAUCAGGUACCAUCUGAACGAGUUCACCUGUAGGAACUAUUUUAAGACUCCACAUGAACUAUUUAAUCUCAGACACUCCAGCCUUAGAGUUAUUGUUGAGAGGGCAUUUGGAACUCUAAAGAACAUGGUUAAGAUCCUGAAUUAGAAGUCAUUCCACACUUUCCCUAUCCAUGUUAGCUUAUUGGACUUCAAAACAUUGAGGAGAAGAACCUCAACACGGCAUUGUGAGCUUCAAGGGCGGAGAGACGCAACACAACAUCGGGAGGGUUCUCGGGAUCCGGCAUCGGACUGGGAUGACUUUGUUCACCGGGAAAAGGACCACGGCAGGGAUGACAUCCUCCUCCUUCACGCAGACGAGGGACUCGAUAUCCCCGCGGUGCCACAUACGCUACCGUCAUGGGAGGAGGGUCCGGCGGCUAUCGCGGCUAGUGCACCGCAUAGAGAAAGUUUGCCCCACUGUGUAGCGUCUGGGACUAGAGAUUUCGCUCCACCACCAAGUUGA